rnacentral:lncRNA from 1 species
CUCUUCCCAGACUUGAAACUCUCAGCCUUCUCAUUACCUUCUAAGGGCUCCCCAGCUCAGUCUGGGGGGAGGGUCAGGGUAGGGGCUGGGAACCCAAACACAUUUAAUGGAGUGGACUGCAAGUUACUAAAUUGAGCCCUGGGGUGGUGGUGGAGCUGUAGAAUCUCAGCAGGAAACCUUCAGUCAAACUGCCCCUCCUCCUCUCCCAGACUCAACAGAAAGCCAGGUUAGUGCAAACCUUGGCUUUGCUGUUAUUUAACUCACCGUUGACUAACACCCUUCAAUGACUUUCUCUUUAUAAUUAUUGUUAGAAUCAGAGAUUUCCAUGAUGUAUUUGUGCAGUUUCUUUGGGAACUCAAGUAAAGGGCCUUGCAUUUUGGAUGAAAUUCAUUCACCUUGGUAGCUCUGACCCAUGCUAGCCCUUUGAGAGGCGGGAGAUUCUCAGUUCUGCUGGCUCCUGUGAUUACUAAGCUACCCAGUUUCAGUCAUCAGGGAAUUUGAUAAACCUGUUUUCUGUAUCUCCAUUCAAGUUACUGGUUUAAAAGAUGUUGUCUAGAAGAGGGGUGAGGGCAGAGCCAUUGGUCAUGCUGAUACAGAUUAUGUUCUAGAACUUAACAACCUGUGGUUAGUUUGGGUGUAGUUACUAUACCAACUGCUGAGCCCCCAUUUUGUACUUCUCUAAUUUGCAAUCCACCAAUGCAUCCAGAAGGCUAUCUGGAGGAAAGGCAGGCAAGUUUCUGAAAUUCAACACACUUGCUUCCCUGAAUCUUCCUGAUUUGGCAUUCUAGCAAUUCUGCUAAAGAAGGAAGUCAGAGUCUCACAUGAGUGAGAUUCUGCAGUAGACAAGAGAUAAGUUAUGGAAGUCAAUGUAAAUAUCAUCACUUAUAAUUUUGCCAGGAAGAAGAGAGGUAUGUGUCAGACUUGCCAGGGAGCUGGGUCUGUAAAAGAGAACUGUCCUCACUAGAUGAGUAGUGAGGACCUACAGAGUAUUUGAGUGCAUCAAGAGAGAGAACUGGGGCCCUAGUUUGUGGAAGAGGUAGGUGGCUGUCUAGUGAUUUGGGCGGUCCUGUUACUACAAGAGUAGAUAUUGGGCUAGAACUAAGGUUUUCUCUUUGCAAAUGAACCACUAGUCCCCAAUUCUUCCAGGUCAAGAAAUUCCAGACAGUUCUGACGGCCCAGACGGUUUGAUGCCUCUGCGCUUCUGCCAAUGCUGUUCCCUGUGGAAUCCCUCUCCCUGCUGGCCCCCUGGUGAACAUCUGUCUCUUCUCCAUUUUCACUGCAAGUUUUACAUCCUCUAACAAUUCAUCUCUAAUUCCUCUUCACUUCCAGAUCCAGACUUUCCAGGUAGAGUUCACUACUUCUCCCACUGUGACCUGUUCCUUGUAUAGACAACUACAUUUGCACUCGAACCACUUUAUUAUGUAGAGGUUAAGGACACAGGCUUAGAAGUUUGAUAGGCUUAGUUUUUAGCUCUGACUGUGCCUCUCUAAAUCCCAGUUUCCUCAUCUAUAAUAUUGGGACAAUAAUAAAAACCCAAAUAGGACUGACAAAAGGAUUUAACAGGAAAGGGGCAUGCAGUCAUUAUUUAUUGCCGCAUAGCAAAGUACCCCCAAAUGCAGUCGGGGUACCAACAAUAAACAGUGUCCCCACAGUUUCUGUGAAUCAGAAAUUUGAGUGUCUAGCUCCGAGUGGUUUGAGUUGGGUCAUUCCCACAGUGGAGCAGUCACGGUGGUAGCUAGGGCUAGAGUCUUCUGGAGGCCUGACUGAGGCUGGAGGCUGUGUUUCCAAGGUGGCCCAGUCAUGUGGCUGUAGGCAGCAGCUUUCAGUUCCUCCCCAUGGGACGGGACUUGAGUGUCUUUAUUACAUGGCAGCGGAUUCCCAUAGAGUAAGUGAUCCAAGAGAAAGCAAGGUGGAAGCUGCGAUGUCAUUUAUAUCUGAGCCUCGGAAGUCACACACAGUCAUUUUCACAAAUCCUAUUAGUUACACAUGUCAGCCCUUGUCAGUGUAGAAGGGACUACACAAGCAUAGGAAUACCAGGAGGUGAGGAUCACUGGGAACCCUCUUAGAGGCUGGCUACCACAAGUUCCUAGGCUAAAGUUUAACAAAAGUGUAUUAUAAAGGCUCAAGAAGCAGUCUUUGCUAUCAUUAUUAAUUCAUACAUGAGUAUUCCUUAUUAGAAAAUAAACCCCCGUAGGUCAGAAAUGAUGUCUUGGGGCUGUUUGUAUUCUAAGUGCCUGCGGUAUAUGCGGUAUAUGCAGGUCCACGCUAAAUGUUGAACAUAAGAAUGGAGCCUUGUUAGUCUGGUGGCAGGCUCAGAGUGAAUGGGGAAGGAACUCACACAGAGAUGUUAAGUAGGAUUCUGCAACUCAGCCAUGUUACUGGAAAUACCCACUGUAUAAAAUCAAAUCCUGACAGUUUCUCACUUUUUUUUUUCCUUUGGUGGUGCUGGGGAUGGAACCCAGGGCCUUGUGCAUAGGAGGCAAACACUCUAGCAACCGAACUAUAUCCCCAGCCCCAGUAUUAAGAAUGUUGGAUACCAAAGCGGCAAGCAGGGCAGGGGUAUGUCUUAUGAUUCUCUUUGGAAAAGAGGCUCCGAGUGGCAUUUUGGUAGGGAACAAUAGUCCCAACUCUGUGAUCUAGAGAGUGACUCCACUGCUCUUUAAUUCCCUGGGCCAAGGUAGACAUGGAAGCCUCUUGAUAUUUUUGUUAUAUUCAAAUCCCUGUGUUGAUGGCUCUUUUCUAGAAGAAUUUCUCCUUCUAGAAGACUCCGAUGUGCAUUUUCUUAGUGUUCAUGCAAAGGUGCACAGAGUUUCAUGUCAGAGUUCUGCCCAGCUACUGUGGCCCUCUAAGAAGACUGGGGUGUGAGUCUGCAAGGUAACUGAUAGCCUGGGCAAUAUUGAGUUUCUAGCUGUCUAGCUCAGACUGGAACUUUGCUCCUACCCCUCCGGGCUUGAAAGUUCACCAAUUGUCCUUUUCCCUCAGACAGAGCCCUCUGUGCUUAUUGGUGCUGUGCUCCUGUGCCCCACUUCCCAACAUGUCGUACUCCCUUGAGGCUGCCCCUUCAGGAGCCACACAAAGAGCCUGGAGGGGCAGGUGUCCUCUCAGAGAUUUCCCAUGUAGAUCAAUUUCCCACUUGCCAGAGGUCUCAUUUCUCCCCGGUUCCUUGAAAUCCUAAACAAGUGACUUUAAUUGUCUUUUUCCUUCCUUAAAGCUAGAGGGACUGGGGUGAGACAGGGAAAAAUCUCCUGUUGGAGUGGAGGGAGCUUUGUUGCACUGAACAUUAUUUUGCCUCUGGAUAAUAAAAAGAAGAUUGUGGCAUGCAAAUUAUGGAUGGGAGCCAGACAAUAUUUAAAUUAUAUCUAAAUCAAACCAGGUCACCAAGAGGGAUUCUGAAAGGAAAUUAAAAAUGCUUAUUGAUUAAAAUAAAAAAAUUCCAUAAUUGAGCCUCUUGCAAACAAUAUUACAUAUCGGGGGCCAUUGUAAUCCAAGGCAACUGAACUCUGGACUGACCUUUUUGAAGGAACUUCUUUUAUGGUAUCUACUUCACCUUCCAUUAGGAUUUAACCAGGAGAGAACAUUCUUAAUAGAGAUAGCAUUGAGAUAUAUGGCCAGUGGGAGAGUUGGGAACUUAUGCAUGAGUUUUUUUUUUUUUUUUUUCUUUUGGUAGUGAGAACUGAACUAAGGGGUGCUCUACCACUGAGCUACAUGCCCAGCCCUAUUUAUUUUUUAUUUUGAGACAGGGUCUUGCUAAGUUGCUGAGGCUGGACUUGAACUUGUGGUCUUCCUGCAUUAGUCUCUAAAAUCAUUGGGAUUACAAAUGUGUGCCACCCUGCGGAUGCUGGGCAGCAUGAGUUCUCUGAGUGUGAGAUCAAGGUGACAGAGCUGGGCAAAUGUGACUAUUGAUUUUCAAAUCCCCCUUCCACAUAGCUGUGGAGAGAAUUGUGUCAUUACUGUUAGAAAACCCAGCCAAAGUGUUCCCUUGGAGACGGAAACACAAAAUAAGUUUUUAAGAAACAUUUUUUGGGGGGAGGUGUCAAAAGAAUGUUAACAAGAUAGUUGAUUAAGUUAUACAACAAAGUUAAAAAUAAAUACUUACGACCAGUUGAAAUAUUUAAAAAGAUGCCAACAGAAAAUAUGGAGCUCUCAGAAGGGAACCAGGGAAUGGGGCAGGAAAGACACAAUGAAAGGAUGGCAUGGGAAUCAAAUUGAGGAAACGGGACUUUUAACCAAUGUUUAUUAGAAAAACAACAAUCAUUGAUUAAAACAAACAGAUUGUGGUUCUAGGAAAGAGGAAACAGAAUGGUCAGCUUAGGAAAGGCUGUGUAAUUUGGAUAACUGGGUUUUAUCCAUAGUAUCCCUCAUUUACUCUGCAGUUAAGAUCAUUGUUUUCAGUUACUUUCAUCAAGUAAAUAAUAAAUUUAUUGGACACAUGCUGUACACCAAGCUCUGUGUUAAGUGUUGGGGAUAAAACACCUAUGUAUCUUUAUAGAGACAUAAAAUGUGGUCCCAGUUUUACAUAAAUGCUUAGGCUAUCGUCGAAGCAAUAAGGCAUAAUUACAGCUAAAAUUCAUUCAGUACUUAUUACGUAUUGAACACUUUCUAAGCACCAUAAUCCCUUAAGACAGCAGACAUAUGUUUUGGUCACAUUUGUAUCUCUGUUGCUUAGGACAUAGAGAUUCAAUAAAUAUAUUUAAAGAAUCCUUGUUGAGAGCCACAGCCGAGUUGGGAUGGCACCUAGCAUUUUGCCAGAAGGAGUGGUUGAGAGGUGACACCAGGGAGCCAUUAAGAUGUUGAUAAUUGUAAGCUUUCUGUCGAAGGAACCGCUGAGCUAGAGCCAGUCCGCAGAGGUGAAGGUGGGAGUUCAUAACCCACUUGAAUCAAAGUGUGGAAUAUGAUAUGUCAAGAAAUUUGUAAUGUUUUGAACAACCCACAAUAAAAAAUUAAAAAAAAAAAAGAUGUUGAUAAUUAAGUUAAGCUGUGUAUAACUGCUGUGACUGGAUGAUGCUGGAUUGAAACAGGCUGUGUAUUCAGUUGUAUAUAGACCCCUGCUGUCCGGCAAUAGGGUGGCUCCUGCUGCCUUGGGCGCCCACCUGCUACUUUGGAGUUCUCGAAGAGUUCCCCGUUGAGUGGAGCCCGGUGGAGGGUGAGAGAGUUCCCGGGGAGUGUGCGUGGAGUGCUGGUGGAGUUGGGGCAAUAAAGGAGUUCCUGUUUGAACCUACAAGUGCCUCGUGGUGGCUCGGUUAUUUUGUGCCCAGCCAGACUGCGGCAAAUCCUUACAACUCUGAGUGGGUACAAUUGCUCACCUUAUUUCACAGAUGAGGAGACUGGGGUCCAAAGAGGUGAAGCUCUUGCUCAUCUUCAAAGUUAGGAAGUGAUGGGAUAAUGAACCCAGGAAGUCCUGUAAAGUACGGCACAAUUCUAACUCUUGAUAAGUAUUGGAGUAACCAAAAUGAAAGGUGGGAAGUGUGUUUUCUAAAAAACUUCUACGGAAGAGAGGAGAGGGAAGAGGAGGCUCACUGAAGGGGAUAGCAUUUUGAUUGGGUCUUAAAAUGUGGGUGAGAUUUCCACAGAUGGGUGCAAGGGACUGUGUCUUCACGAUGGAGGGACAUCAUGAGCUGGCACUCAGAAUUGGAAAAAUGAAAGGUGUAUUUGGAGAGUUUUGCAACUGCAGUUUGCUGGGUUGGGUUGGAAGCUGUGAGGAGCAGGGCUUCUCACACUGUCAGGUGCACAGGAGUACCAGGGGCUCUUGCUAAACUGCCCUUUCUGAUUCAGCAGAUUCUCUAGGCAGCCCCUGGUGAGGCCAAGGCUGCUGAUCUUGGACCACACCAUGAGUAGUUGGCUCUAGCAGGCCUUGCUUUCCUGGCUCAGAGGAAUGGAUUUUCCUUGGUUAGCCCAGAACUUCAUGGAUGGAUUUUAAGCAGGGAAAUAAGACUUCAAAGGCAGGUUGGUAGUAGUAGAGUAAGAUGCUCUGCAGCAAACCCGGGCUUUGGUUCCUUAAGCUGCUAACUUGUAACCCUCAAAAUUCAGAAUCUCAAUUGAGUCAGGGUCCAGGCAGGGAAACAGAAACCCCAGAGAAAAUUAACAGAUGAUUUAGCCCUGGACCUCCGAAUAUCACUUUCUCACCAGACCUGCCUAAAAAUUCUUCUUUCCUUUCUCUAGGACUGCCUGGAGCAACAUCUGUUCUUAUCCUCUAGUGGUUAGAAGAGGAGCUAAAAUGUGGGCUUGACCUUGCACUAAUCUUGUAGGCUCGCCCAGGCUGGGCCCUGUCACCCAGCAUACUCAGAGCUACUCACGGAAUGAAAAAUGCUGCUAAUAUCAGUCUGCUAAAAACAUCAUCAGGAAAUUAAAUCUGUGGCUUUAAAAAAAAUCCCACACUGAUUUUCUGGCACUGGUGUGUCUCCCAACUGGGAUCUCUCCUUCUGCCUGGGGGCCUCCUUCCAGCCUCCUCCCUCCUCUCUGGGCUCUCCCCUCUGCAGCCUCCCUGCCUCUCCUCCCUCCUUUCC